CCUCAGAUCAUCAGGCAUUAGUUAGAUUCUCAUAAGGAGGGCUCAGCCUAGAUCCCGCAGUUCACAAUAGGGUUUGUGCUCCUAUGAGAAUCUGAUGCCGGCGCUGAUCUGACAGGAGGCGGAGCUCUGGCAGUAAUGCUCAGUCACCUGUGCUCACCUCCGGUUCUGUGGACCAGUUCCUAACAGGCCAUGGACCAGUACUGUGGCCUGGGGGUUGGAAACCCCUGCCAUAGAUCAUUCCAGCCUCAUUACACCUAGACUUAAAAGUCAUACCAUCAAGACAGAUGCUUCAUGAUGACUCUGAUUGAAGUUCUGAUUGUACAGUAAGAGGUAGUGUCACACGUACAGAGCUUAGUCACAUCUUUAUGUGGACAUUACACAAAUAGCCAGGGCAAAAACCUCAACAUAUUUUUCCUCUUAACACUCUUCCUUGUAAUCUGACCUGCAAUAGUAGCACUGGCCUGAAUUAAAUCCUCUGGGCUUUGUGGAUCUGAUAAGCAACAGUUUCCUUGUUCUUGUUCUUCUUUCCCAGCCAGAGAGAAUUCUCUGUUGCUUUCUUACAAAAAAAUAUGCCCCCCUUCUUAGCCUGGCUAGCCUCAUUGCAUUUCUGCCCUGUUAGUCUUUCAUUUUCAUUGGCAAAAUGGGAAAAAUGAUAUCUGCCUUUUCCAAUAUUACAGGGCUAUUGCAAUGAUCAAAUGAAGUGAUUAAGGUCCAAAUGGAGUUAGUAUUAAGCACCAGGAACUCUGCAGGAUUCCAGGAUGAUUUGGUCAUGGAUUCUGUCCUAAUAAAGAAGAAAAAUGUAAAUGAUUUAUAGAUUUGUCCUUAGUUUAUCUUUAUUUCCCCACCCUGUGAAAGUGGAUUAAUAACAAAAAUAGACUCUUUGUGGUGAAUUAUCUUUGAUAAUUGCCCCUCAUGCUAGAAAAUAGAACCAGGAUCAGUGACACUGGUGAGCAGCUGUCUUCCUCUAGAAAAACCUUUGCUCUAUCAUCAAACAAGGCUUACAAUUUAAAAAGGGAAGAAAUCAUUUAAUUAAAGAAAGAAGCAUGAGUCAAAGGCCUUUCUCGCAGACUUCAAAUUGUUAAAGGUAACUAGAGGUGACUGACCAAAUUAGGUCAGGCAAUAAAUGAGAAAUAUGUUUAAUCUUAGCACGAUUUUCCACUCUGUUUUCUGUUUUGUUUCAUAGGUGGAGGGUAGUUAAAUAUAUGUCUACUUUGAGUUUGAAAAUACACUUUAGGAAUUGUAUCUUAUCAGUAAGUGCUUUACAAACACCAUUUAUUAUCUGAUUUGAAAUAUUGCUAAUCCGUUUGAACAAUCCCGUUUAUCAAAAGUAUGUCAAGGAAAUUUUGUGCCAUGUAUGAAUAUAUAUAUGUAAAAGUUUUCUCAGUGUUGUUAAAAAUAGUAAUAAGUUGAAUUCAGUAUAAAUAUCCAGCAACAGAGGAUUUUUAAAAUAAAAUAUGACACAUCCAAACAAUGAAAUGCUGUGUAGCCACUAAAUAAUUUCUACGGAAAUCUUUUUGGUUUAUAUUUUUAUAUCUUUUUCCUAUGUACUAAUACUGGAACACAAUGUUAAAAGUGCUUUUCUCCAAUAAUGGGAUUUUAAGUAAUCUUAACGUAUUUAUUAUGCUACAGGUAAUAUUUUCUGUAGUUUCAAAAUUAAAAAAAUAUGUAACAUAAAAAUACAAAUACCACUAAAGAUAAGGAAAGAAUUGUUCUUAAUAACUACAAUAAAGAAAAGUCAUACAAAUGGCAUUAAUCUUUUCUGCAGCUCCGCUUACUUGCUAAUAAAACAACCAAAUAAAAUAGUUGUUGCAUAUAAUAGAAGCAGAGAAAGACAAAGCUUUUAUUCUAAAUGGAGCCAAACUUGGCCUAGCCCAAUCUGCACAUGCGUACUUGCUUGGCACAUAGCCUUGCUUCACAAGUCCUCUUGGCGUUGUAAAUAUCAUGGUUCUCUUUUCAAGGACACUCUGUGUGAGAAGCACUUUCUUGGCACUGGACACUAAAUAAUUAUUAACUGACAUGUUGCACUUAAUAGUUCGUCGUCUCAGCUCUUGUUUAUAUAAAACGUUUGACCACAGCUCUAAAACACCUCAUCGUGUAGGUGGGGAACUUGUCAUAGGAACUCAGAUGGUAGGACCCUUUGGCUGGUUACUGCUAGCCCUUGCCAGCUUUGUCCUUACUGGCUGCCAACACCCCCCGCCCCCGGGGCCCUGCUACAGACACCAGGUACUCCUAUUUAGAGCUGGUCAUGGAUAAGGAAAAGGCAGAUUUGGCCACAGGAUCUCAAAACAUAGAGCCACUUUAUGUAGAAAAAUCUCUUGAACCUAUCAGGAGUACCAGAUUUUUUAAAGGAACACAUACAGAAGAAGAGGAAGAAAGUUCUCCCAAGUUUGACUCAGAAAACUUCUGAAAGAAUUCCCUACAUAUGCUGCCUCUGCUGAUUUCCUCCUGGAUUCUCAACAAAACUGAGGCCGAUCUCUAUACCUUAUCACAUAACCACGGGACUGGAAAUGCUUCCUCAGAGCCCUGACUAAUGGAUGUGAAACUGCUGGCAUGGACACUAUCCAGGAUGUCCAAAAUCCUGUGAUGCAGAAAAUUUCCCCUUUCAAGUGAAGAAAUUGACAGCACAGCGAUGAACUUUCUCUAGGAGUUACAGCCAAGAAUUGGUGGACUCUGAAUUCAAACCUUUUGCUUAGGGCUGCCCCAUCCUGCCUGAGUCCCAACAGAGGUCAGAGACACCUGCAGGUGGCCUGAACAGGGGAGCAGGCUGGUCACAAGGGAGCAGCUUUGGGUUCAGCAGUUAUGAUACAGUCGCUGGGAACUUCUGCCCAUCUGGCCUGACUGGUUGGCUGAAAUGGCUCUAUCCUUGAUGAAAACCUGCUGGAAGGAAUUAGGAACACAGAAGACGUUGCCAAAGAAUACAUUGUUCAGACCCCUAAAUUUACUGCUCCUCAUCCCCUGCCUGGGCAUGGACUGAAGGUUGAUAUGUUGCAGUCUCACCACUGGAGAGAAGAAAUUCUCAAUUCCUGUGUGCCCAGGACUCCCAGGGAGAAGAGCAUCCGGGCCUGAUGUCCCCCACGGCGGGCAAUCGUGUGCGGGUCUGUGGUUACACCCACCCACACUUUCCAUGUCACCUGACAAAGGUGCGCUUUCCAGUAACUCAUUGCAAAACUUUUGUGAAAGGAAAAACAUCUAGUCUGAUGUGAGAUGAAUAAGUUGGUUUAAUAAGUAUGGGUUAUGGAAUCAUAAUAAUGGGGACAGAAAAAAGACAAAAAUAAGAGUAGGGCACCUAGAGUUUAAAUGCAGGUAAGAAUAAAAGCAAUUAAAAAGUCAUAUGUUUUCUCAAAGCUUUGGUUUGUGUCUUGGUGUUUUCAAGGAAGCUGAAGGUACCCUGAUCAGUCUGGGGCACACCGGCACAGAGCCAACACACAAUGAUUCUAGGAGAGACUGCUGUGCCUCAGACUGCUUUCAUCGCCAGACAGUGGCCCCUUGAGUGUGGGUUGAGUGUGGACUCAGCCUUCCUUUCUGCAGGGGUUGGGGGAAAACCAGGCCUAACAUCCAGCAACAGAACAUUAACUCAGCUAGUGAAAAAUGGAAGUGACGUCACCACAUGCCAUAUUAUGAAAGUAACUAUUUUUUAAAUAGCUCAACUGCACAAUUGCCAAGGCUUGGAUCCCUCUCUUAAAGUCUUAUAGAGGCCUUGUAACCAACUCCUGGCUAAUCUUGGCUGAUAGUUGCUGCUUUCCAUCUGCCAAGCUGUCAGGGGAUUGUUUCCUUUGUUAAAACUCACAGGGUGAGGUGGAGAACAACCGUGCAUAUUUCUGUACUUUGUGCAUGCUCCUUGCUCCCACUGGAACAUUCCCUGUUAUUUGCCACUUGGCAAAUUCUCAUCCUUAUACACCAUCAUCUGCAUCUCCAACUGAAUCAUCUCAUCCUCAAUGCACUUGCUCCCCUUUUAUUCUAUUAAUACAAUGUUUGGUGCAGCCCCAUGGUCAUUAUCAUUUGUGCUGUAAUUCUGCAUUCAUGUACAUCUUUACUAAUAAAAAUAGAGAACAUCGAUCCAGAACUUGCUAUGUACCAGGGGCAGUGCUAAGCAUGUUGUUCGUAUUAUUUUACCUAAUUCUUGCAACAAUAUUUUUAGGCAGUGCUAUCCACAUUAUCACCCCUUGACAGAGGAGAAGUUGACAGCUAGGUAUGCACUUGCCAAGGGUCACACAUAUGGAAGGAUCAGAGCCAGAAUUUAAACCCAAGGAGUCAAUGAUCUCACUUAUAUGUGAAUUGGAAAUAAAUGGAACUCAUAGACACAGAGAGUAGAAUGGUAGUUU